GACUGCAGGCUGCAACUCGCCUGCACGAAGUCGGAAUUGCUAGUAAUCGUAGGUCAGCAUACUACGGUGAAUACGUUCCCGGGCCUUGUACACACCGCCCCGUCAAACCAUGAGAGUUGGCAACACCCGAAGUCGGUAGUCUAACCGCAAGGAGGACGCCGCCGAAGGUGGGGUUGAUGAUUAGGGUUAAGUCGUAACAAGGUAUC
rnacentral:rRNA from 1 species